AUUGAACGCUGGCGGCAGGCUUAACACAUGCAAGUCGAGCGGAGAUGAGGUGCUUGCACCUUAUCUUAGCGGCGGACGGGUGAGUAAUGCUUAGGAAUCUGCCUAUUAGUGGGAGACAACAUUCCGAAAGGAAUGCUAAUACCGCAUACGUCCUACGGGAGAAAGCAGGGGAUCUUCGGACCUUGCGCUAAUAGAUGCGCCUAAGUCGGAUUAGCUAGUUGGUGGGGUAAAGGCCUACCAAGGCGACGAUCUGUAGCGGGUCUGAGAGGAUGGUCCGCCACACUGGGACUGAGACACGGCCCAGACUCCUACGGGAGGCAGCAGUGGGGAAUAUUGGGCAAUGGGGGGAACCCUGAUCCAGCCAUGCCGCGUGUGUGAAGAAGGCCUUAUGGUUGUAAAGCACUUUAAGCGAGGAGGAGGCUACUGAGACUAAUACUCUUGGAUAGUGGACGUUACCCGCAGAAUAAGCACCGGCUAACUCUGUGCCAGCAGCCGCGGUAACAC
rnacentral:rRNA from 1 species